UCAAAUACAGAACUGACCUACAUGACAACAUUAUGCAGCCACAUUACUGUGUCCUGAAGAAUAAGAGAGAAUACUGUGAAUUGGAAAAGAUGUUGAGACAAAAUCUCCUUUGAUCUCUGGCAUACAGAGGAAAUAGAGAUGUGUUUGGUGUUCCUAAUCAUCAGUGAUGUGCUAUGUAGAGGUCCACUUCUGGAUCUCUACAUGGACUUCUGUGCCCCGUGAAAUACAAGCAGAGAAAAAAAGAAAAAAAUUCUUCAAUUCCUUGUUUAAAAAGCUGAACAUUCGUGAAAGCAGCUGGUCCCAGAGGUGGAACAUUCCAAAACCCCGUUUGGAGCCAAGUGAGUACGUUAUGGAGUCAGUCGUGACACCACUUUAUAGAGAACAGACAAUGAGUUUUGGAUCUUGUGAGUGUAAUGCUGCAUGCCAGAACUGAGAAGACCAACUUGCUCUCUGUUCUCCUGCCCCCACUUGCUCUCUUCUGCAUCCUGAGGAGGGUCAACUGCUGCUGUACCUAAACGAAGCAGUCGCAACACUGGGCCUGGAAGGAACAGAAGCCAGCAUGCUUCAGGCUGGAAGGAAAGGAUUGGACCUAGAGCUGGAAGCGUGGAGGGAUAAAUCCUUAACGAUGGCAAAUGAGCCAGGCAAGAAGUGGCG
rnacentral:lncRNA from 14 species